GCGGAUGUGGCGAAAUUGGCAGACGCACUAGACUUAGGAUCUAGCGUGGAAACACAUGGGAGUUCGACUCUCCCCAUCCGCA
rnacentral:tRNA from 1 species